GACGAACGCUGGCGGCGUGCUUAACACAUGCAAGUCGAACGGAAAGGCCCUGCUUUUGUGGGGUGCUCGAGUGGCGAGCGGGUGAGUAACACGUGAGUAACCUGCCCUUGACUUUGGGAUAACUUCAGGAAACUGGGGCUAAUACCGCAUAGGAGCUCCUGCUGCAUGGUGGGGGUUGGAAAGUUUCGGCGGUUGGGGAUGGACUCGCGGCUUAUCAGCUUGUUGGUGGGGUAGUGGCUUACCAAGGCUUUGACGGGUAGCCGGCCUGAGAGGGUGACCGGCCACAUUGGGACUGAGAUACGGCCCAGACUCCUACGGGAGGCAGCAGUGGGGAAUAUUGCACAAUGGGCGGAAGCCUGAUGCAGCAACGCCGCGUGCGGGAUGACGGCCUUCGGGUUGUAAACCGCUUUCGCCUGUGACGAAGCGUGAGUGACGGUAAUGGGUAAAGAAGCACCGGCUAACUACGUG
rnacentral:rRNA from 1 species